rnacentral:tRNA from 1 species
AAAGAUUCAAUUUUAAGCUGCUAACUUAAUUAAAAAUGUUUACCAUUUAAUCUUUU